rnacentral:rRNA from 1 species
AUGGGAGUCCUCAAGGUUCCAAGCCUGCUAUUUCUCAUGCUACUCCUCUUGGCUCCUGCCUCUGAUGCCGAGACUUGCAAGGAGGCCAGCGAGAGCUAUACCACUAUAAAGUGCCGUGAUGAUGCAUGUGCUAAGGCCUGCCAGCUGGAGGGGUUUAUUGAUGGGACGUGUGAGAUGGCUACUUUUCAAAAACUUGUGAAAGAACCUGCAGCGCUCUGUGUCCAUGCCGUGCCUGUUGAUACUUUAUUUGUUGCUUGUUCGCUUUAUGUUUACGGUCUGGCUAGGUCUCAGUCGACUGGGACUUAG